UACGGGGGGGGUAAGCGUUGUUCGGAAUUACUGGGCGUAAAGGGCUCGUAGGCGGCCAACUAAGUCAUACGUGAAAUCCCUCAGCUUAACUGGGGAACUGCGUGUGAUACUGGAUGGCUUGGAUUUGGGAGAGGGAUGCGGAAUUCCAGGUGUAGCGGUGAAAUGCGUAGAUAUCGUUUGGAACGCCAAUGGUGAAAACAGCUCGCUGGGAGUGUGCUGACGCUGAGACACGAAAGCCAGGGGAGCAAACGGG
rnacentral:rRNA from 1 species